rnacentral:rRNA from 1 species
UACGGAGGGUGCAAGCGUUAUCCGGAUUUACUGGGUUUAAAGGGUGUGUAGGCGGACUUUUAAGUCCGUGGUGAAAUCUCCGGGCUCAACCCGGAAACUGCCAUGGAUACUAUGGGUCUUGAAUAUUGUUGAGGUGGGCGGAACGGGUCAUGUAGCGGUGAAAUGCAUAGAUAUGACCCGGAACACCGAUUGCGAAGGCAGCCCACUAAGCAAUGAUUGACGCUGAGGCACGGAAAGCGUGGGGAGCAAACAGG